GGAAAUGUGGGUCGCUCUCAUUUCAUUUGCUUGUUCCUGCUAACCUACUGUCCGCCUGACUCCAGCAGUCUUACCCUGCAGCGCAGAAACAGGGUCAUCAGUGGGCAGGGGGCAGGAGCUGUGGGCUGCAAGUAGGGGCUCUGGGGUUACAGGGCCUGUGAGCUGUGGGCGGGGGAGGGGACGUUUCGGUGAGGGAUGAAAGCUAAACUUGUCCUUUUACCCUGUCGCUUGUUCUCCAGGAGUCGGUGUGACAGCCAGCCUUUCUAGGUCUCCAGCGCCUCCUCAACACGGACUAGCAAAGGGACUUCCCCUUACAAUCCAUUGGCCCCACAGACCCCCGCUGCAAACACAUUCUUAGCAUCCUGUCCCCGGCUCGUAAAUCGCUGGUUUCUCCUUGUUCUAAUCUUGGAGUGGGCACUAUUCUUACAAACGUGUGACAUCGUCCUUCCUAGAAAGAGGGGACAGGGAAGCCUGGUUAGAUGAGCCCAGGCUCCAGGAAAAGCAGGUCUCAGCUUUAAGGUGGCUGGGGUGAGAGAUGCUGUGCUCCUGACCCGGAGAGGCCCUUUGUUAUCCGGGGGGGAUUUGGGCUCUGGGUGGAUGUAAAUGCUAAACGGCUGCCUGGGUGGUGAGCAUGCUGGAGAACCCUGGCUUACUUGCUGCUGACUGCACUACCGGUGGUUCAGGAGAGAGACCAAAGUACAUAAGCAGAAAACAGGGCAGCAGAUAACAAGGCGGCCCAGUGGCCUUUCACUUCUUCCCCCUUCCUUCCCUCCUGUUCCUCCGGCCACUGGAGGACAGGGCCGAGUGUGUUUGUGCUGUCUUGAAGCUCACGCGGGCUGCCCGGGUCACAUGGCACGGGCAUGUGCAGCCUGCUCCAUUUCUACCACAACAACUCGCUCAUAAACAGCCCGGCUGCUGCGGCGGUGGCGGCGGAGACAUGUGCAAGUGAGGGGGUGGGGCACGUGGCCCUGCCCGAGCCAAGGGAAGGACUGGAUUGCUCAGCGCUGCCUCCACCCCUGCCCGCACUGGGCUGCCUAGCCACAGGAAAUUCCUAGUGCUCCCUCGCCGUUGCAAAACAUGUUUUGGGGGAAGUGACUUUCAAUAAGGAUGGAGUUAAUGGACUAAAUAAAAAGAGCACAGAUAAUCGGUGGGAGAUUGUCCUACUUGCCCGUGCCUUGUGUGGUGAAGGGUCUGCACAAAUGUACAGUGCUCAGGAUCCUCCCUGCUUCCUUCCUCCUGUAUAAAAUUGAUACCAACCAGGUCUUCGGGGUGAACAUUGAGGUGAGGGGCUGGGAUUCACUGAGGAGAUGAUCCUCUGAUCAGUAAUGGAGAUUGUCAGCAGUACCUGGGACCCUGUGAGAAAUGCAAAUUCUUAGGCUCACCGGAGCCUCCCUGAUUCAAACUGGGGACAGCUCUGGAAUCUGGUUUAGGAUGCCCACCAGAGGGAUUGAUGGGAGAGAAUGGAAGGGAGUCACAGCUUAAGGUCCGAAUUCUGUCCAGGAGAUAACAGCCAUGAUCUGGGGAUAUUUUUGACUUUUCUCCAAUGUGGGGCAACAUUUCAGAGUUCAGCCAGAAAGCAUAGUCAGAGUUAGUUUGACUCUGUGCAAAACCCAUUUAUCAGAGUGCUUCCAGGACGCCAGGAUUCUGCUGAUGAAGGCAAAUGGCCACCAGUGGUGGGACACUACUGUUACUGCCUUCUUGGGAGGUGAAUGUACUCUCGAGGGAAGAAUGAAGCAAAGAGAAGACUAGAUCCUUCCACCGUUUUCGCUCCCCUUGUCCCCCACACCCUUG
rnacentral:lncRNA from 1 species